rnacentral:lncRNA from 1 species
GAGUGAUGUAAAGGGAGCAAAAGGGGCUGAGAAUCCAACCCAGGGUAUCUUUGGCCUGUCCAGGAGUCUGAAUUUGUGCUUUGAUCUCCCAGGUAUUUGAAGAGGGGGAUGAUUUCAGGGGGGCGCGGAGAAGGCUGGGCGCUGCCAUCAGCUCGAUGGUUUAGGGAAGUUGACUUGCAAGGGGUGAGAAAGCCGGUCACUCCUGCAGAGCCUCCGGAUUCGUCAGGAGGAGGCGCCAUGUUUCCGCAGGCCCGGUGCAUAACCAGCACGUGCACUGGCCCAGGCAGUGAGCAAGGACUGAGCACAUUGUAACCUGUUCCGGACACACCAGAGCCGCUGGGUGGAGAUGAUACCUGUGGAACUCAGAGCAGCAGCGCUACUGACCGCACGAUGGGCCGCAAUGCAUUCCAGAGAGGCUAGCGAGGGGCUCUAAGGAGCGCUCAGACUGUAUCUGUAACAGGAUGGACCAUCCUAACGUAGGAAACUGCAAAGCAGUGCAACGCCGCUCCCGGUAACACGAGAAGACGUGGUGUUUACAGCUCCGAGAACGAUGCUAUGGGACUUAACCUACCUCAGUUUCCCUAGCUGUCAAAUGGGAACAACAACACAUCCCCACGUUUGUCAAGUACUUUCACAUCCUCUGAUGGAAGCGUCUCUGUAAAGGGCAACACGUGGGUAUUACUGUGCCUGUCGUUUUUACCCUCUUCCUAUUUCCCUCUGAUUGGGGACGGGGACGGGGGGGGGGCGGUUUAUUAAAGCACAAAAUUGUU